AGGGGUUUAGCUUAAUUNAAAGUAACUGAUUUGCGUUCAGUAGAUGUAGGAUAAGGUCUUGCAGUCCCUG
rnacentral:tRNA from 1 species